rnacentral:rRNA from 1 species
GAUGAACGCUGGCGGCGUGCUUAACACAUGCAAGUCGAACGGAGUACCCCUGAAGGAGUUUUCGGACAACUGAUGGGACUACUUAGUGGCGGACGGGUGAGUAACGCGUGAGUAACCUGCCUUGGAGUGGGGAAUAACAGCUGGAAACAGCUGCUAAUACCGCAUAAUAUAUCUGUGUCGCAUGGCAGUGGAUAUCAAAGAUUUAUCGCUCUGAGAUGGACUCGCGUCUGAUUAGCUAGUUGGCGGGGUAACGGCCCACCAAGGCGACGAUCAGUAGCCGGACUGAGAGGUUGGCCGGCCACAUUGGGACUGAGACACGGCCCAGACUCCUACGGGAGGCAGCAGUGGGGAAUAUUGGGCAAUGGGCGCAAGCCUGACCCAGCAACGCCGCGUGAAGGAAGAAGGCUUUCGGGUUGUAAACUUCUUUUCUCAGGGACGAAGCAAGUGACGGUACCUGAGGAAUAAGCCACGGCUAACUACGUGCCAGCAGCCGCGGUAAUACGUAGGUGGCAAGCGUUAUCCGGAUUUACUGGGUGUAAAGGGCGUGUAGGCGGGACUGCAAGUCAGAUGUGAAAACCACGGGCUCAACCUGUGGCCUGCAUUUGAAACUGUAGUUCUUGAGUACUGGAGAGGCAGACGGAAUUCCUAGUGUAGCGGUGAAAUGCGUAGAUAUUAGGAGGAACACCAGUGGCGAAGGCGGUCUGCUGGACAGCAACUGACGCUGAGGCGCGAAAGCGUGGGGAGCAAACAGGAUUAGAUACCCUGGUAGUCCACGCUGUAAACGAUGGAUACUAGGUGUGGGGGGACUGACCCCCUCCGUGCCGCAGUUAACACAAUAAGUAUCCCACCUGGGGAGUACGAUCGCAAGGUUGAAACUCAAAGGAAUUGACGGGGGCCCGCACAAGCGGUGGAGUAUGUGGUUUAAUUCGAAGCAACGCGAAGAACCUUACCAGGGCUUGACAUCCCGGUGACCGCUGUAGAGAUACAGUUUUCCCUUCGGGGACGCUGGUGACAGGUGGUGCAUGGUUGUCGUCAGCUCGUGUCGUGAGAUGUUGGGUUAAGUCCCGCAACGAGCGCAACCCUUAUUGUUAGUUGCUACGCAAGAGCACUCUAGCGAGACUGCCGUUGACAAAACGGAGGAAGGUGGGGACGACGUCAAAUCAUCAUGCCCCUUAUGUCCUGGGCCACACACGUACUACAAUGGUGGUCAACAGAGGGAAGCAAUACCGCGAGGUGGAGCAAAUCCCUAAAAGCCAUCCCAGUUCGGAUCGCAGGCUGCAACCCGCCUGCGUGAAGUUGGAAUCGCUAGUAAUCGCGGAUCAGCAUGCCGCGGUGAAUACGUUCCCGGGCCU